GGAAGCUGCUAGCAGAGCUAGCUUGUUGUUGUUCUGGUGUGUGAGGAGAAUAUUUGAGGCUCUGCAGUAAAAAUGUCUUCACUUCAGUCUCUGGGAGAGUUGAUCAGCUAAAGCGACUAACUGCUGCUGCUGCAGAAAUCUUCUCACCAGGCUGUGGAAACUUUCUUCUCCUCCUCAACAACUUGGUGGAGUUCUUUCCAGAACCAGAGAAGAUAUUCUGCGGUCUUCGUGACAAUCGGAGCUCCAGAAUCAGGUUGUGGCUGUUAGCUAAACACGGCUAAAGAAAACCUGCUACCACUUCAGGAUCAUCCAUCAGCUGGGACUGAUUCAUCGUGUGUUCUUCACCACCUGGACAGCAUGGACACAGAUGUUCAACAGGUGGUUCUGAUUAAAGAAGAACCUCCUGAAGAACAGGGUGCUGGUGUGGACCAGCAGGACCCAGAACAUCUCCACAUAAAGGAGGAACAAGAAGAACUCUGGACCAGUCUGGAGGAGACUGAUGGUGCCAGGUUUCCAUUCACCGCUGUUUCUAUAAAGAGUGAGGAUGAUGAAGAGAAACCUCUGUUCACACAGCUUCAUCAGCAGCAAAUAGAAGACAGAAAUGUCCCAACCAGCAGCUCAGCUGACCAGAUGCCAUCAGACUCUGGUGGAGGAGCAGAAACUAGCAGGAACCCAGAUCUGAACCCUCAUGAAAAGACAUCCGAUUCUUCAGAGACUGAAGUUAGUGGAGAUGAUGAAGAGGAAGAUGAUGUGAAUCUAGAUUCUGAGCUGUCAGAAUCUGGGUCUGAAUCUGGAGAUGGAGACAAUGACUGGAUUGAAAGCAGAUCUUCUGAGUCUCCUAUCAACAAAUCCUUUAGCUGCCCUGAAUGUGGUGAAAAUUUUUUCCAGAAGCAGUCUCUCCAAAAACAUGUGCAAGUGACAAGUCAUUCAGCAACAAAAUCUUCAAGCUGUUUGGUUAAUAAGAAAUGUGUUAAAGUGAAGAAAAAUUUAGACUCAUACAUGAAAGUCCAGAAAGAACAAAAAUUUAAUUGUGAUGACUGUGGAAAACAGUUUAGCAGAAUAUCAAAUUUAAACAUUCACUUGAGAGUCCACACGGGACAGAAGCCUUUUUUCUGUGAGCUUUGUGGACAAAGAUUUAACCAAAAGACACAUUUAAAGAGUCACACUCGUGUCCACACUGGACAGCAGCCAUUUGCCUGUGAGCUCUGUGGACAAAGAUUUAGCAGCAAGGCAAAUCUUAACAGACACAUGAGAGUCCACACAGGACAGAAGCCUUUUGCUUGUGGUCUCUGUGAACAAAGAUUUAGCCAAAAGACACAUUUAAACAUUCACUUGAGAGUACACACAGGACAGAAACCUUUUGCCUGUGAGCUCUGUGAAAAAAGAUUUAGCCACAAAUCAACUUUAAACAUUCACAUGAGAGUCCACACAGGACAGAAACCUUUUUCCUGUGAGAUAUGUGGACAAAGAUUUAGGGAUAAGUCAACAUUAAACAGACACAUGAGAGUCCACACAGGACAGAAACCUUUUGUCUGUGAGUUUUGUGGACAAAGAUUUAGGGAUAAGUUCGCUUUAAACAGUCACAAAAAAGUACACACAGGAAAGAAAACUUUUACCUGUGAGCAGUGUGAACUAAGAUUUAGCCAGAAAUCAACUUUAAGCUGUCAUAUGAGAGUCCAUACAGGACAGAAGCCUUUUGUCUGUGAGUUCUGUGGACAUAGAUUUAGUGAUAAGAGAAAUCUAAACAGACACACACGAGUCCACACAGGACAGAAACAUUUUGCCUGUAUAGUAAUUAGAAACCAUGUGAUGAGCAGGAUGGGAACGGUCCUCUUGGAUGGUCAUUCUCAAACUGUGGUGCAUACCCAAGACUGGAGCACCGAUGACAUAUUGUUGCCGCUGCAGUUCUGCAUAACGGACAUUUUCGGCUUUCUGGUUUGUGGUGUGAGCGGAUGUAAACGUCCAGAUGAGAGAGUUCACUCCACCGGCAGUGACCCGCACGACCCCCCGGAUCCAACGAGAACCUUCACACCGAGGGUUCCACAGAUGGUGCUGGUUAAAGAAGAAGCUCCUGAAGAACAGAGUGCUGGUGUGGACCAGCAGGACCCAGAACACCUCCACAUAAAGGGGGAACAGGAGGAGCUCUGGACCAGUCUGGAGGGAGACCAUCUCUGUUUGAAGGAGGAGACUGAAGCUGUCGGGUUUCCUGUUACUGCUGUUUCUAUAAAGAGUGAGGAUGAUGAAGAGAAACCUCUGGUCUCACAGCUUCAUCAGCAGCAAAUAGAAGUCAGAGAUGUUCCAACCAGCAGCUCAGCUGACCAGAUGGCAGCAGAAACUGGUGGAGGAGCAGGAACUAGCAGGAACCCAGAUCUGAACCCUCAUGAACAAACAUCUGAUUCUUCAGAGACUGAAGUUAGUGGAGAUGAUGAUGAUGAUGAUGAUGUGACUUUAGACUCUGAGCCUGAAACUGGAGACAGGCAUGAUGACUGGAAUGAGAGCUGGUCUUCUGAUUCAGAUGCCUGUCCAGAUCUUCCACAGCAUCAUGACUGGGAAAAAGAGGAAGUUCUGACUGACCAGCAGAUCUUUAACCAGGACACCACCCUCAGUUUGGGCCAGAAGGAACCAGAACCUCCACCGAUCAAAGAGGAACAGCAGGAACUCUAUAUCCAUCAGCAUGAAGAUCAGUUCAUUCUGAAGCAGGAAAAUGUUACCUUCAUGGUGACUUCUCCUUCUGCAGAAACAUGUAAACAAGAACCAAAUCAGAACCGACCCUUGUGUCAGAGUUCCACUGAAGCUGAGAACCAAGAUCAGGGUGGAUGCCAGAAUGAAAACUUAGAAUCAAACAGCAAUGGAGAACUGACACAAAAUAAAAGACAUCAUCAAACCAGAGAUCACAGAGAGAGUAUAGACAGUCAGAAACUAGAAAAACAGCAAAAGGCUUACGGAGAGGAAAGCCCUUUUUCAUGUGAACUCUGUGGGAAAUUUUUCAGCUGUAAGGGGGUUUUACCAGUUCACAUGAGAAUACACACAGGUGAAAAACCAUUUACAUGUGAAACUUGUGGUAAAUGCUUUUCUGACCGAGGCUCCUUGAUUAAACACAUGAGAACUCACACAGGUGAGAAACCAUUUAGAUGUGACACUUGUGGUAAAUGUUUCUCUCAGACAGGUCAAUUGACUAGUCACACAAGAACUCAUACAGGUGAAAAGCCAUUUAGAUGUGAAGCUUGUGGUAAAUGUUUUACUGACAGUGGUACCGUGACCAGACACAUGAGAAUUCACACAGGUGAAAAACCAUUUAGAUGCGAAACUUGUGCUAAAUGUUUCUCUGUAAGAGCUAGCUUGACAGAACACAUGAGAACUCACACAGGUGAGAAACCAUAUCCAUGUGAAACUUGUGGUAAAUGUUUUUCUAAAAGUAUUAACUUGAUCACACACAUGAGAACUCACACAGGUGAGAAACCAUGUACAUGUGAAGCUUGUGGUAAAUGUUUUUCUUACAGUAGUAACUUGACAAAACACAUGAGAACGCACACAGGUGAGAAACCACAUCCAUGUGAAAUUUGUGGGAAACGUUUCACUCAGAGAAGUUACUUGAUUACACACAGGAGAAAGCACACAGGUUAAAAGUCAUUUACUUAUGAAGCCUGUGGUAAAACAUUUUCUGACAGUGGUUCCUUGACUAGCCACAUGAGAACUCACACAGGUGAGAAACCAUAUCCAUGUGAAAUUCGUGGUAAAGGUUUCUCCCAAAGUGGUAGCUUGACUAAACACAUGAAAGCUCACCACAGGUGAGAAGUCUUUUCCAUGUUUGAUCUGUAGAGCGAGAUUCAGACAAAUAUUUUCUUUAAAGUGACUGUGUAGUUUUUACCAUUGUUCUCUGGAAAAAUAAUGUAGUUAAAAAAUAAUGAAAUGAUGCCAGUUGUUGAAAAAUAUUGGUUUGUAACUUAUAGACCCCUUGAAAAAUAACGUUGCAUGCCCCCCCACCCCCACCCCCAGCCCCAGAAUCCGACACCUCUCCAUUGACCACUGUUGUGUUUAUCUGUUAGUUGACAAUAAACAGAGCUAAAUAGUGAUUAAAUAAAAUCCAUCAACAUGGUUAACACACACUCCUUUAAGGAUUCUGAGUACUACAAACUGUCUGAAUUACUAGAGUGUCUGUCAGCUAUCACCAGCUGGCUAGAAGAUAACUUCCUUCAGUUAAACUCUGAAAAGACUGAUCAUUGCCCCUGAGAGCAUGGUUCCCCUGAUUAGUCUAAAACUUGGUCAUUUAUCCUCUACCGUCAAGACAAACUUAAAGAAUUUGGGUGUUAUUUUUGACCAAUCAAUGGCUCUUGAAGGUCACUCAAAAACGUUGGUCCGAAACUGUUUUUAUCAUUUAAAAAAUAUUUCCAAACUGCGAAGGUUGGUAUCAAAACAUGAACUUGAAAUGGUUCUCCAUGCCUUUAUCUCCUCCCGUCUAGAUUACUGUAACACACUUUCCACAUGUUUUAACAAAAAAUCCCUUCACUGCCUUCAGUUGGUCCAGAACUCUGCAGCGAGGCUCCUAACUGGAGCAAACAGAACAGCACACAUCACUCCUAUGCUAAUGUCUCUGCACUGGUUACCCGUUAGCUUUAGAGUUCAUUUUAGAAUCCUGACUAUAACUUUCAAUGCUCUACAUGGUCAAGUUCCUCCCUAUAUUACUGAACUGUUAAAGCCUUAUGCUCCAACCCGAGCCCUCAGGUCCACCCACCAGAACCUUCUAGAAGUUCCAAAGACCAGAUAUAAAAAGUAAAAGUUCACAAGUUAAAAGCUGCUUUUACCUAAACCUUUUAUCUUCUUAUUUUUAACUCAAAUUUUUACUCUUUCAUCUGUUUAUGAAAUUUUAUAAUUUUAUGACUUUACUUUUUCUGAUGUUAAUCUGAUCUAAUUUCCCUCUGGGAUUAAUAAAGUAUCUUUGAUUUGAUUGAUUCUGUUUUGAGAUCAUUAUGAUUUUAUGACUUUGUUUUAUUUUGUUUUGAUUUAUGUGAAGCACUUUGUGAUUCUAUGUCUGUGAUAAGUGCUAUAUAAAUAAAAUUUACUUACGUAGAGCUGUAGGCUGCUCAAGUAAACAAACAAAAGACAGGAAACAUUACAUUUUACAGGUUUCCAUCUGAUAAAAUAUGCCAAAGGCAGUGGUUAACAGUAGGGGUUGCAUGACUUAAUUUUUUUUAAAGUCGACAGUCAAGUAAUGAAAAUCGAGUCGACUUCGACUAGUCGUUGAUGACGUCAUAGACCUGAAGCGGAAACGGGGGGGGGGGGGGGCAAUGCAGAAAAACAAUGUGAUUUUGUUCUAAACACACCUCACGCAAGUCACGCAGGUGGCGUAUGGGAACGACAAAUACGGACUGUGAGAAAUGUUCUCAACGCAACAUUGGCUCUCACUCCAGGUCGGCUUACUGACUCUUUACUCAGGACUUUUCUCUAUGAAGCAGCUGCAAUAGUUAACAGCCGCCCUUUAACUACGGACAAUCUUAACGAUCCAAACAGUCUGGAGCCACUAACUCCAAACCUUCUCAUCACAAUGAAAACUUCAAGUUAUCUGCCUCCACCCGGAACAUUCAUAAAAGAGGACUUGUAUGCACGAAAGCGAUGGCGCCAAGUUCAGUACCUUCUUGAGCAGUUCUGGAGCAGAUUGAGAAAAAGAGUACCUUCAGAACCUUAUAGUGAGACAAAAAUGGUACACACCUAAAAGAAACAUGCAAAUUGGAGACAUAGUGAUGGAGAAAGAUGACAUGCUACCACACUCUCAAUGGAAACUUGGUCGAAUCUUGG